GGAGGAGCCAGUAGGAGGGAAGGGGGCUAUGAGACAUGGUCUUCUGCACACUACACGUGCACUCAUGAACACUUUACCACCUGCACAAGAUAGGGGUCCAUUAUCACCCCAUCAUGCCCACUGGGGAGAGGCUCCUGAGACUCCACCCUUCCUUGUUAAUGGUGGCUGGGCAGCAACGGAGGUUAUCAUUUUCUUCAGUGGUAUAACCAAUGGAUGAAACAGACCGGAAGAUGGGCA
rnacentral:lncRNA from 1 species